UACAGGGGGUGCAAACGUUGCUCGGAAUUAUUGGGCGUAAAGAGCUCGUAGGCGGUUUGUCGCGUCGGCCGUGAAAUCUCCACGCUUAACGUGGAGCGUGCGGUCGAUACGGGCAGACUUGAGUUCGGUAGGGGAGACUGGAAUUCCUGGUGUAGCGGUGAAAUGCGCAAAUAUCAGGAGGAACACCGGUGGCGAAGGCGGGUCUCUGGGCCGAUACUGACGCUGAGGAGCGAAAGCGUGGGGAGCGAACAGG
rnacentral:rRNA from 1 species